UCGAUCUGCUGCGGCGCGAUGAAAUGGAUGUGGCUGUCGAUGCCGCCGGCGGUGAGGAUGCGCCCUUCGCCCGCGAUGAUCUCCGUCGAGGGGCCGAUCACGAUGGUGACGCCAUCCUGCGUAUCGGGAUUGCCCGCCUUGCCGAUGGCGGCGAUGCGGCCGUUCUUCAGGCCGACAUCCGCCUUGACGAUUCCGGAAUGGUCGAGGAUCACCGCAUUGGUGAUGACGGUAUCCAUUGCCCCUUCGGCACGGGUCGCCUGCGACUGGCCCAUGCCGUCCCG
rnacentral:sRNA from 1 species